AAAGUCGUAACAAGGUUUCCGUAGGUGAACCUGCGGAAGGAUCAUUAUGAAUUUGAACUUGUGGUGUGAGACUGGUUUCGAUUUGUUUCGAACGGUCUCGUCCGCAUUUCUUUUUCUGUGAACUGUUCUCAAGUCUUUUAUUUUAAAAGCUUGGGUUACUUUUUGUUUUCUUGUAUUAUUCCAAUUAAUUUUUUCUAUUUUUUCGAGUAAUUCUUGCAAAAGAAUGAAAAAAAGAAAAGAAAAAACUAUAAACCAAGACAACUUUCAGCAAUGGAUCUCUUGGCUCUU
rnacentral:misc_RNA from 1 species